UCGCACAGCAGGAGGGUGACGUGGGAGCAUGGACGUGGAGCAGACGUCAUCCCAGUCGCUGGACCCGGGGUGACACUUUGAAUGGUACAGAGAACAGGAGAGAGACCCUGGGGAUUAAAUAUAUUACAGGCAUGCCCAGGAACUCGGAUCAACUGGAAUACAGGGAAACCCCAAACGCUUGCAGAGAAACACGAGAAGUCAUGGGCGCUGGAUCCAGACUCAGGUGACAGCCAUUUCCCAAGGGCCACAGUGGAAGGAAGAGCUGGCAGUCAGGCCUUCCAGACUGGGGGGGAGCAUUUUCAUCCUGAUGCCCCUGACUCACCGAACUACCUGUUGUUCCCAGGUGGGUAAAACGUGCAGAUAUGCAGACUCCAACUGCCACUUACAGACCCCAGGCCUGCCCCUUCCCAGCUGGUAGCCUUUCAAGCUCCUGCUAAAGUGGGGAAAGAGAAUGCUGCGGGGACGGCAGGCGGGGCCUGGGAGUGAGCUCGGCACUGCUAACCUUCAGGCUGGCUCCUGUGGCUGGGGCUGCUCUAGGGGGCAGGCUCCCUGCAAUAGUUCACUCGCACUGUCCCUGGUGGACACAUGGGUCCGGGACAACCCACCUGUUACCCAGGGAGGCAGAGGUGCGGCUCUGGCCACCUGCCCAUGGGCAGCAUCUGUCCUUUCCCAGGAAUGACCUGACCCCAACCUGGCCCUGUCCCCGACCCAUCCCCCUUCAGGGUGACCUCUGGAGCCUGCCUUCUGCUCCUCACCCACCUACCCCAAGGCUGGCCUGAUGUGGCACUCUGGGGCCCCCUGAGGCUAUCCCCCUGCCAGUGCCCCCUUCCACCUUCCUGGGACUAGCUCAACCCCCAACAACCUAGGCCCACAGCUCACAGCCCUAGGAGGGCCCCUGGAAAAAUGGAAUGAACUUAUACCCGUUUGUCCCCUAAACCUGGCCUCCUGUAGCCAGCAGGGUGUGCAUACAUGGGGGAGGGGGCUCAGAGUCCCACCCUCCAAUCCUGCUGUGUGACCUGGAACCAAGCUCAGCCUCUCUGAGCCUCCCUCUCCUUGUCUCUGAAUUGGUCAUCUACCCAGGCGUCCUAGCUGUUGAAAUAACCCAGGGUGCCCAGUGAGCAGACA